UGCUUUACCGGAGGCCGACUUGAAGCAAGUCUUUCUGACCCAUCUACAGAAAAAGAGAGAUUAAUUCUCUCCCUGGUCCCCCUCUUCCUUCCCUUUCCUCUCUCCUUUCUCUGCCCCUCCAUAUACCCUUGUAUAACCACAGGUAAGUAUAUAAAAUGUUUUGUGGGUACCAUCAUUGAUGGUAACUGCCAGAUAUUUCCAGCAUUCGCCUCCAUCGCCUUUGGUAGGCCAAACCCACAGGGACAGGGCUAUUUGUUAAUUCGAUAAAGCGCCUUCACUGGCUAACACAUGUUUAGAAAGCCAGCUGCUGGGUGUGCCUGUUCUUCCUCCAUGGUAAACUGAGGAGGUAGGCACUGUUGUCCUGCCCACUUUGCGUUUAAAAAGCCCCAGCUGAAAGAACGGAAUUAAUUUAUCAGAGAACUCGGCAGAUGGCUGCCAGGCAGCCCCAGGGAAUUUGAUUUCUGACAAGUCAUUAUAAUUUGAUGGUUGACAUUUCAUCAUUUUCUAGAAAACUAUGAUCUGGCAAAUAUAAACUCUCCUCACAGCAAGCAGCCCUCAGUCUGAGGAUGGAACUCGGGUCUUUAGGCUUUGUGACAAGUAACUUUACCUGCAAAGUCAUCUAGACAACAAACAGAUGGCUCUGCUCGAGUCCAGUUCUUCAGAGAGCGUCUCCUGACAAAUCCCACUCUUGGAAGGUGCUUUGUACUUGUGGAUUUUUGUGAAGAAAAAAAAAAAAGAAAGAAGGAAAGACUGGACACACUUGAAGCUGAGAUUUCAUAAAACAACAGUAUUCUAAGAGACUACACUCUUCAUUCUUCCCUAGAAAUCUAGACGAUGCUUCUGCUAGCAAACGUCAUAUAUAAAGUCAAAACGUCAAAUAAAGUGUUGGGACCUAGGACCUUUGGGUUUUCCAGCCUGAUUUCCCUCUCUGGCAGCUGCCUGGUUUCUUUGGUUCGGCUGAAGCUGAAUGGAGAGUGCCACUCGCUUGGCCCGCACACACUGCAACUUUUAAUUGGGUAGUAAACAGAGGAAAACACACUUCCUGUUUCCAGUAAAAAGCAGGCAUAUGAGAAGGAAGGCCUGAAGCCCAGACUGUGCCUAUGAUCUCACAGGCUUCUUAUGAUCAACCUCCAACAGCAUCCCUCAGGAGAAUGGUCUCAGGCACAGCCCUUUGGGAAGCAGGCCGGGCGAAGUCAGCACGUAGAGAAAUACAAACACCAAAAUCAAUCUGCUUAAACCGUGAUAACCACAAUCAGUUCUUCACACAACUGAUGAGACUUGAAUGUGUGCCUUUUAUCAACUUGAUUCUAUAUCACACAUCUCAGUCGAUGUGUAUUGAAGCCUUGCUUACAUAGCAGGGCUGGAUUCAGUACUAAGGGUGUGGAGAAGAGAAAACCUGGUUCCUGAGCCCAGCUACCUCAUCUGGGCUAACAAACUAAAGCUGAAUUUCAAAAGUAAUUACUAAGGAGGUCUUUGUUUCUUUCGGUUUUCUUUCCUUUUUUUCUUGAGGAAUGAAAUUAAAAGCAUGAUUUAUAACUUUCCAGACAAACAUGCAUAUUUCAUUUUGUGAGGCAAUGUCUUACCAUGUAUCUCAGACAGUCCUUAAACUUAUUACAUAGCCCAGAUUGCUCUUUCACUCACAGCAAUCCUCCUGCCUCAGCCUCCUGAGUGCUGGGACAACAGGUGUGCACCGUCAUCGUCAGCAUGUCUUAUAUAAACAU
rnacentral:lncRNA from 1 species